GAUUAAAAUUUGAACUUUAAAACGAAGUGAACUUUGCAAGAAAUGUGAAUUUUGUUGAAAUUAUGUUCAAUUCUGGAGCAAAAAAAGAGGUGGAACAGUUGCCCGAAGCUGUUCAAGCAAGAAUUAAAACGACUGUGAGAUAUGCUAAAAUUUGGGCUGGUUUGGUAAUUGUCGCCGCAGGGGUACUGAUUGCAACCAAGCCUUAUCUAGAUGAAUUACGCAGUCAUGAUGAUGAAAAUAAGAUACAGAUUGCAAAGCCUAGGGUGAAAAAGACAGAAGAUAAAGAAUAAAAGACUAAUUUCAGCAAAGCUGGGGAAAUGGAUUGAAGUUGACUCUGUCAAACUAUUAUAAAGGAAGUCAAAAAUAUUUUAUAAUAUACUCUUAUAAUUACAUUAGUUUUGUCUUAGUUUUGUUACAUGUGUUAUUCUAUACCCAGUAUCAAUUCAUAUACUACACAUUAGGAUACGAGGGGAUAUAUACAAAUAUAUAUCCUUGUGUAUAUCUGUUACCUCAUACAGCUGAUUGAUUUACUAUUUGCACAAAAUAUAUGUAAACUAGAUAUUUAAAGACCUUGCUUUUUUU